GUCGAACGAACCAUCCUGAUGAUUGAAGCUUGCUUCAUGAUUCAGACCUUGGUGAGUGGCGGACGGGUGAGUAACACGUGGGUAACCUGCCCAGAAGUGGGGGAUAACAUUUGGAAACAAGUGCUAAUACCGCAUAACAACUUAGAUCACAUGAUCUUUGUUUAAAAGAUGGUUUUGCUAUCUCUUCUGGAUGGACCCGCGGCGUAUUAGCUAGUUGGUGAGGUAAUAGCUCACCAAGGCGAUGAUACGUAGCCGACCUGAGAGGGUAAUCGGCCACAUUGGGACUGAGACACGGCCCAAACUCCUACGGGAGGCAGCAGUAGGGAAUCUUCCACAAUGGACGAAAGUCUGAUGGAGCAAUGCCGCGUGAGUGAAGAAGGUUUUCGGAUCGUAAAACUCUGUUGUUGAAGAAGAAUAUAUGUGAGAGUAACUGUUCACGUACUGACGGUAUUCAACCAGAAAGCCACGGCUAACUACGUGCCAGCAGCCGCGGUAAUACGUAGGUGGCAAGCGUUGUCCGGAUUUAUUGGGCGUAAAGAGAAUGUAGGCGGUUUAUUAAGUUUGAAGUGAAAGCCCUCGGCUCAACCGAGGAAGUGCUUCGAAAACUGGUAAACUUGAGUGC
rnacentral:rRNA from 2 species